GCUGGUGAUGGUAUAGGGGGUUGAGUGCGUGACCCAUAUACGGAGGUCUUAGUCCUCGACGUGGCUGUCCCGGGUUCGAGUCCCGACACCAGCA